rnacentral:pre_miRNA from 1 species
AGUAUAAUUGUUGGAUCAUAUGGUAUGGCUAUGUUUAGUUUUGUAAGAAACUACCAAACUGUCUUCCAAAUUGGCUGUACCAGUUUGCAUUUCCACCAGCAAU